CCCCUGGUGGUCUAGUGGUUAGGAUGCGGCGCUCUCACCGCCACAGCCUGGGGUUCGAUUCCCGGUCAUAGAA
rnacentral:tRNA from 1 species